UGCAUUUAUUUACAUAAUCUCAGCAUGCCUGUUUGUUUGCAACCUGAGGAGUUUCUUGGGUGAAAUUUGAAACUGGCCCUUGUACACGCAUCCUGGGCUAGGAGAGACAGAAGAAAGAGGCAGGCCACUCCAGAUUGACAGGUGGCAGUUUUUUUGUUACUGUUGUUGUUACUCCUGAAAUUCAGAAUCUUACUUAGAAUCUAUUUAAAGUAGGGGGGGAAAAACCAUGUCAAGAAAGACCAGGUGGAAAACGGAUUUCCAAUAAAAUGGAAUUUGGGGGCAACAAAGGUCUAAAAUGCCACAAAAGAGAAAUGGCACCACAAUUUUACUUGAACGAUGGCUAAUUACUUGCAUUUUUGGCAUUGUUAAUCACUGAAUCUGGGUUUUCCUCUGAAUUCCACAUAGAACAUGCACUGCACAAUUUUAUCGUAAAAUACCUGCUUUUUACACACAUUUUAGGAUAAGCUAGGGAGGCGGCAGUUUUAAUAAGCAAGGAAACUUACAUAGGAGGCUUAACACAGGAGGCUGCAAGACGAGUGCACCUCUGCACUCCCUCGCCAAAAUGUUAAGAGUUUAUACAGAAGCCUUACCUGGGUUCUCUCACAUGUAUUGUACAGUCUCAGCAACACUUUGCUCUCUCAAGGUUGCAUCUUUGAAAUGGCUCCGGCUACGGGAACCAUGAGCGGAACGUAUAUUCCAAGUCCAGGACAAGAGGUGAGGAGCCUCUAACUGCGUGGUCCCGCCCGCGGGUCAACUGGCGGUCAGAUCCUCUUGACGACCUUCUCCAGCGAUACCUCCGUCGUCAUUCUCUCAGCUGCCAAAUAUCAGCCAUCAGUCAGGAGCCACAUCAGGAAAAAGGCUGGAAAAAACCUCUAACUGGCCCUAUGAAAAGUAGACAUUAA
rnacentral:lncRNA from 1 species